CAUCAGGUUUUCUCUGUUGUUAGCUUGUCUUGCUGCCUCUGACAGUGGCUUGAUCUUCCUGGAAGCUUGUGUUUCGGCACUCCUCUAGACCUAUUUUAUUUCAGCAUGACAUGGGAGCAGAAAACUGCUCCUGGGUUUGUGUGUCCUGAAGUUUCCAUUCUGGUUCUUUGGAGGAGAAGUUUUUGUCUUACCUCUUCUCACAGGUAUUUUGGUGUUUCUGGCUUUCAGCUCUGGGUGCAGGCAGAAAUGGGAAGAUCCUGCCCCUGACUGUCACUACCUCCCUGUGCCCAGAGGGCACAGAUGUCACUAGCUCCUUCUGCGGUCAUAUUUGCCAUUGAUGUUGAGAAGGGUCCCAUCAAGCCCCUUGUCCAGUCUCCUUUUCCUCUCAAUGACAACCAAUGGCAUUAUAUCUUGGAUGAGAGGAACCUCAAAGAGACUUCAUUGCAGGUGGACAACCUUCCACGAAGUAUGAGGGAGGUUUCAGAAGAAGGCCAUUUCUAACUUNNNNNNUNNNNUNNACNNNNUGCAGGUGGAAGACAUCAUAGGUUUUACAUUAUGCUAAAUACCUGCAAGAUUGGUAUAUGUUCUAGCUCAAGGACAAUUCCCAGUAUUUUACAAGUAUGAACAAAUUAAAAUAUAGUUUUCAUUUUAAGUUC
rnacentral:lncRNA from 1 species